GUCAAUAUGGCCGAGUGGUUAAGGCGUCAGACUCGAACCUCUUCCUAAGAGCGUGCAAUCUGAUGGGGUUCCCCCGCGCAGGUUCAAAUCCUGCUGUUGACG
rnacentral:tRNA from 1 species